rnacentral:rRNA from 1 species
GUUAGGAAUAUUGGACAAUGGGCGAAAGCCUGAUCCAGCCAUGCCGCGUGUGUGAAGAAGGUCUUCGGAUUGUAAAGCACUUUAAGCUGGGAGGAAGGGCAGUAAGUUAAUACCUUGCUGUUUUGACGUUACCGACAGAAUAAGCACCGGCUAACUUCGUGCCAGCAGCCGCGGUAAUACGAAGGGUGCAAGCGUUAAUCGGAAUUACUGGGCGUAAAGCGCGCGUAGGUGGUUUUGUAAGUUGGAGGUGAAAUCCCCGGGCUCAACCUGGGAACUGCAUCCAAAACUGCAUGACUAGAGUACGGUAGAGGGUAGUGGAAUUUCCUGUGUAGCGGUGAAAUGCGUAGAUAUAGGAAGGAACACCAGUGGCGAAGGCGACUACCUGGACUGAUACUGACACUGAGGUGCGAAAGCGUGGGGAGCAAACAGGAUUAGAAACCCUUGUAGUCC